rnacentral:lncRNA from 1 species
UUGAGUAGUGCGCAAAGCGUCCCUCACCUGUGACGUCACAGCGUCAUCCGCCGCCAGGAACAUCAACAAAGCGGUCAGUUUGUGGUCCGUGCAGUCAGCAAGAAGACAAACGCUUCAUGCAAUCACGCAAAUAUUAUCAUGAUUUUGAUGCUGCAAACCGGAGAUGCAUAGCUGCGGAAGACACGUCUGAAGUGGAAACUUAAAAUGAAGCUUCAGAUAUGAAGCAAAGAAUGCCAAGAAUAACAAAUAUAAGAGAUUCCAGAUCGUUCCAGAUUUCCAAAGUACUGAAACGCACACCAUACAGGCUUGGUGGAUCUCGGUGCAAGGUAAAAUAAUUUAUUUACUUGUACAGUAUAUAUUUUUAGCUAAUUAUCAGUAUAUAAAACCACAGUACUUAAUUUUAUCAGUGUCAAAGACACAAUUACAUCUUACUCAUAAAUACCAUUAUAUACCUCACUUGUGGUAACAUAUACACACAUUAAGUGUAUUAUGUAGCAUUAUCUGUAAUCAACUGAUUUUCAGAGCUGCUCAUUACAAAAUAUUCUUUUAAAAAAGUGUUUCUUAACAAUAGGAGCAUUUCAUUACAAUAUAUCCAUAAUCAACUAUAUCAAACCCUAUUACAGGUAAAACCAGUAGGCAUUCUACUGUAUUUUAUCAAACCCCUAUUAGAAUAAUAGA